GCCGAAGUGGUGAAAUUGGUAUACGCGCUGGUUUCAGGGACCAGUGGGAGCAAUCCCGUGGGGGUUCGAAUCCCCCCUUCGGCACCA
rnacentral:tRNA from 2 species